UUACGGCCAUAUCAGGUUGAAACACUGGUUCCCGUACGAUCAACGAAAUUAAGCAACUACGUGCCUGGUCAGUACAUAGAUGGAUUAGUACUUGGGAAUAGCAGGGGCUGUA